UCAUAUACAAAUGCAGGCUGGAGGCGAGAUCUCUGUAGGCGUUCCAGUUCAACGAAGGGUAGUUUUUCAGCAACUUUCCUGGGAUUAUAUAACACCAUAAAUUUGAAAGGCAAAAACAAGAAGACUGGGAAAGGCUGCAAAGCCUGAACAGAGAGAAAUGGAGACACCGAUUUGGAAAAGUGAAUAUUUUUUAAUUACUGGUGGGUAAAAAUGUUUCUAUACUGGAUUAUACCAGACAGUGGCUGAUCUAGAAGGUCUCUAAAUAUUGGAUUAUGGUGCCCAACUUUCUCAAACCAGUGGUCGUGUUGAUGAAGACAGAAUGUGUAAUCCAGUAACUUUUGAAGACCCAAGAGUGGGAAAAUCCAGUAAUCAGAGCUGGGUGAAAAACAGCAACUUUGGAUAAAGCCACGUAGAAGCUGAAGCAGUUACUUGGUGGAAUGGCAAGUGGACUAGGAUGGGAAGUCCAAAGGUGAAGCACCAGUGGUCCUCUAGAUACCACCUCACUAUGUGGUCUGGGAAUAAAUAAGCUCAAUAAUAUUUGUACAAGUACACCUAAAACACAUGAAUCAUUACAAAGCAGUUUAAUGAAGCCACCUCUUACCCAAAGACUGGAGUCACACUGCAUAUUGGACCAUAAAGAAACCAACCACAUUUUAGCCUAACGCAUUGGCUAAGUAAACCACAGCCUCUGGGAUUUAUGAUCUAAUCUCUCAUGUGAAGUCAAAACAUUGGGCUCAGCAAACCACAUUUCAGUUAGUCAAGGAUAAGUGAUAAAGGAUAAGGAUAAGUGCACACAUAGCCCAUGUGAGCGAUAAAGAACCUAUGGCCUUUCAAAUGUUGCUGAACUACAUCUCCCAGCAGAUCAGCUCACAUGGCAAAUAGUAAGGAAUGCUGGGUGUUGUAGCUCCUCAACAUUUGGGAAGCCACAUAUUCCCCACCCUUGCCAAGUGUGUGGACACAUGAAAGUGCAAUGCAGGGGUGGAGGGAGAAGAAGGACUAGAUCUCAACUAGGGCUAGUCCCGGGGCCUUUUCCGCCCUGGCAUGCCUUCCCUUGUGUCUGCUCUUUCCUCACUUCCCCUCCUGAAAAUGAGCUUGUAUUGGAAAGAGAGAAGACAGCUUCAUAUUCAAAUGUACGUGACUCGAUUGCUUCUCAGUUGACGGUUCCUAGCUACAAAUGUGUCUCCCACAAUUCCAUUGGGAAAUGUGUUUGAGGUGACCUGUAGGUGCUGCAGAAGAGACUUGUGUAGCAUUCUUCCGAUGCCUAAGCUGGUUUGCUUUUAGCCCUUCUGGUGACAUGACACUUCUGAAGGCGAGUCUCCCGUUUAUUGGCCCUGUAACCAAACAAGACAGAACAGCUGCUUUUUGGUACUUUCUCUUGCCAAAAUUAAAGCUCUACUUUCUUGUUUACCCAAUAGUCAGAGAUGUAUGUCUCUGCUUGUCAUGAAAUGGUUUCUAACAAGAACGUAGAAGAGCUGAUAGAUUCCAAUGGUAGCUUUGCCUGAUAGAGAUAUCCAUGGAUGGUUUGUACAGUUUUGCAAUAGUGGGACUGACUUGCUACUUCCUUCAUGCAGCUGUAAGGUGAGAGCUAUCCCAAAUGUUACACAAAUCAUACUUGUUAUAUUGCUUGUAGGGCUCACAUUUUUUUAAAGCCAUCUUUACUACUUUUGGUAAACUGGGUCAGGAAGAUAUUUGCUUCCUCCCUGAUGAACUCAUUUACUAUAUGCAGUAAGAUUCCUUUAAACAAUCAUGAAUGGAAAGAUUUCAAGUGUUUUUGCAUUUCAUUUUCCCACAAAGGUUCAAAGCUGUUAAGCAAUAUAUAAUUGAUCCACUAUUAAUACAUUAAAGUCAGAAAUACCAGCUAUGGUAUAAGAUUAGAUUAUUAACCCAAAGC